rnacentral:lncRNA from 1 species
GGGCGGGCUCUGGGUGGUGGUGGUGUUCUCAAGGGGGAGGAGAUACAAAAGGGAUUGUGAGAAGAAGAAGAAGAGGAAGAAGUAAGGGAAGGGAUGGGAGACCUUCUUACAAGGGAAAGGAGUAUUGAUCUACAACUACUACUACUACUACUACUAAAGGGUUGAAAAAGACUUCAUGGAAAGUGGAUGGAAUUGAAGAUGGGGAUUAGACUAGUUAGUGCAACUCCCUUUAUUAUGUAUGAUAUAGUGCCCAAGACAUGUUCCAAAUCCACCAUCUCAGAAUGUGUCCUCCCCCCCCCCGCCAGCCACAAGCAAAAACGUCACUCUCUCUCUCCUUCUCUCUCUCUUGCUGUAUUUCUCUCUCCCCUUUGGUUCCGAGCUCAGGUGGUUAAUGUCUUUCUUCUUGUUGGAACAUGAGCUAUUGGUUGGUCUCUCU